rnacentral:rRNA from 1 species
UACGUAGGGUGCGAGCGUUGUCCGGAAUUAUUGGGCGUAAAGGGCUCGUAGGCGGUCUGUUGCGUCGGGAGUGAAAACUCAGGGCUUAACCCUGAGCCUGCUUCCGAUACGGGCAGACUAGAGGUAUGCAGGGGAGAACGGAAUUCCUGGUGUAGCGGUGGAAUGCGCAGAUAUCAGGAGGAACACCGGUGGCGAAGGCGGUUCUCUGGGCAUUACCUGACGCUGAGGAGCGAAAGCAUGGGGAGCGAACAGG